rnacentral:rRNA from 1 species
UACAGAGGGGGCAAGCGUUGUUCGGAAUUACUGGGCGUAAAGGGCGCGUAGGCGGCCCGCUAAGUCGAACGUGAAAUCCCCGAGCUCAACUCGGGAACUGCGUCCGAUACUGGAUGGCUUGAAUCCGGGAGAGGGAUGCAGAAUUCCAGGUGUAGCGGUGAAAUGCGUAGAUAUCUGGAGGAAUACCGGUGGCGAAGGCGGCAUCCUGGACCGGCAUUGACGCUGAGGAGCGAAAGCCAGGGGAGCAAACGGG